UUUUUUUUUGUCCAUUUCUCUUUUUCCGUGUGCGUUUCUCUCUCCUUUUCCUUCCACGUUUCUUGUUUUUGUUUCCUUUCAGUAAUGUUUUGUUUCAUUCCCUCUGAUUACAUUCAUCUUCCUCCAUCUGUUAUUUUCGACAGAGGACACUGACACUGUCCUCCCUACGUCGAUAAAGGAAUCCAACUAAACAAAAAACAAAAAACAAAAAAGGAAGACAUAAAAUACUCCUAAUUUGCUUCCAUACACAAGACAUAACAUAGAUACAUACAUUCGAUCCUUUUUUUUUUCUUUUCCUCCCGAUUUUUUUUCCGCUCGGCUGAUUCGAUUCAACUUCUUUUGUUGCGUCCGUCUCCGGCUCGUCGCCAUUCGUUUAUUGCGUUAGAUUUUUCUCCUCUUUUUGGAUCUCCGUUCGCAUUUCCUCCCGUUACCCGAGAAACUUUUCCUUUUCUUUUCUCCCCCUCGUCCGUCCCACAGUGCGCGAGAAAGAAGGGAAAAGAAAGAAGAGGAAACUGACAGCUGGACCGCAUUUCAAAUUGUCGUGAACUUGUCGUUUGGACGGAAACGAUCUCACUAAAGUUGUGGGAAAAAAAAAAAAAAUACAAACAAACAAACAAAAAAACAAACAUAAAGUGCGACAUCUGCAAUUAAAGAGUGAAAACAUAAAAAAAAAAAAGAAAAAAAAAGAAAAAAUUACCCGGCCGAGUUGAUUGUCUCGUCCAUUCCUUGUUGUAAAGAAGGUGUAAAAACAUCAACAUGCCCAAAUGCUGGGCCGUCGUCGUCGUCGCCGCCGCCAGCUCGUCAGGCCGUCCAUCAGGCCGCCGGAUCCCAUCGUCGUCGUCUACUGCCGUCGUCGUCGUCGACCGAGAUCAUCAAUACCAUUUGCGAGUAUGAUUGCCGCUGCCGGACCGCUUUCGGACGGCCCUGAAAAGCAGCAGCAGCAGAACAGACAAUUGCAACUCUAUCACAAACCAUGGACAACCAAAGUAACGAUGCGCAUCGUUGUUGCCAUGGUGGACAGCAACAGCAACAACAGCCGCAUGCCGACGCGCUCCCCGUCGCCGACAAAUGCGACCCUUUCGCCACCACGGCCGCUGUCGAAGCGACAGACACGUUCGAACUCGGCGGCGGAGGAGGACUCGUCGGCAAGCGACCUCUCGUCUUCGACAAGAUGGAGAGCCUGGUGCGAGAGAUGCAGGAUCCCGAGAACGGGGUGCCAGUGAGGAGCCAAAAGUUGUUCCUCACUUCCAUUCCGUCAGCUUUUAUGGGUUACGACAUGAUCGAGUGGCUGAUGGAACGUUUAAACAUUGAAGAUUCGGUCGAGGCAAUCCACAUGGCCAAUCUGCUGUGCCAACACGGCUACUUCUUCCCGGUGGGCGAAUGCAACAAGAACCUGAGCGUCAAGGACGAUAGUUCACUCUACCGUUUCCAGACGCCCUAUUAUUGGGCAUCGCAAAAUCACAGUCCGGAAAACAGCGAGUACGUCAUCUACCUGUAUAAGCGAUCGUUACGUAACAAGCAGAAACAUGGACUUGAGGAAUACGAACUGGAGGCGCUUAGUCGACUCAAGAGGCAGAUGGCCCACAAAUGGGAGUUUAUCGUCAUGCAAGCGGAAGAACAGGUGAGAUUGGCCAAAGACCGGAAAAAAGGCGACAAGAUCGUAACGGAUAGUCAGGAGCGGGCUUAUUGGAGGGCGUACAGGCCGCCACCGAGUUUCCUCAAUUGCCUGGAACAGCCGCCUUUCCCCACCAACUCGUCGUGGACAUCGUCGGCGCCAACUUCGAAUCAGCGGGACGAUGCGGCAGGCACGUCUUGCACAACCGCAUCCGCUAAUUUCAUCAGGAAGUGGAAGAAUGUCGAAGAAAUCAAGACCGAGGUGGAGUUUAUAAGGGGACAGCUGAUAAGGGCGAGGAUUAAGGUGUCGGUGGCAGCCGAAACGUUGCAGCAACACUGCGCCACCUACAGCGAAUAUGAUCCGUUUCUUCAUCCGCCUCAACCGUCUAAUCCUUGGCUAUCGGAUGAUCCAACCUACUGGAUACUCAACGCCGCCUUUGUGGAAGUGCCGACCGAGAAGCGAGCCAAACGUUGGGCCAUUUCCAUCGAAGAUCUCGUGACGGACCAGACCGGUUUACAAGAAUUGACCAACUACUUGCGCAAAGAAUACAGUCACGAAAACAUCCGGUUCUGGUUGGCCACUAAUCAGCUGAGAAGUGGGCCGGCUUCCAGGAUUCUUCAUCGCGUCCAAGAAAUUUACCAAGAGUUUUUGGCACCGGGAGCGCCGUGCGAGAUCAAUAUUGACGGGCGGACUAUGGACCUCGUCCAGCACGAGAUGAAACGUCCGUCGCGGUUCACUUUCGACCGGGCGGCCGAGCACGUCUACAACUUACUGCUCAAGAAGGAUUGCUAUCCCCGUUUCGUCCGCUCUGAUCAUUACAAACAGCUGCUGGCCAACGCACUCCAGCCUUCUCAAAAGAAAAGGUUCUUCAGCUUCGGUGCGACGGGCAAGAAGAAAUCGAUCGUGGCGGCAACGUCAGGAAUCACUGGAAUGGGACUGCCCGUAGGGAACAUGCAGCAACUGAACCUUUCAUGCGGAUCGAGCGCUAUUAGACGAAGGGGAAGUGUCGGCGAACGGAGUCUGUCCGGUUCACCUCCGGAUCAUCCGCAUCAACAGACACUUGGCGUUUCAUCGACAAACACGAGUCUCUUGUUGGCCAGUUCAUCGGCCACAACUGCAGCCGCUUCGGCCGGGAUCAAUAGCAGCCCGGCCGUCGGGUCUUCCGCCGGAAGCUGCACCAACGUCAGCAUGGCUCCUAGCGACGAAUGCGAUACACCUUAUCGUGGGGAUAUGCCGUCUCAACGUACGACAUCUACCGUUCAGCUGGUCUCUCCUCUUGCUCUUCCUCCUCUUAGUCCUCCACCACCUCCACUGCUGCAAUCGAGCAGUACUAGCGAUUCGACGCCGAUCCUUCCGACGGAAGAUAACGUCUGCCCUUGGGAGACGGUGAGCUCGCCUCCGCCGAUCACCGUCGGAAGCGGCCGGACGAAGAGUAUCGUAUCGAAUCCGGGUCCGUCGGUGGACCAGACGGAACCGCAGACGCCGAACGUGAGCAGCCCGUCAACGAAGAAGAGCAGCUUCUCGUGCAGUGUUGACAGUGGCCAUCUGUCGACGGAUGUCUGUCCUUGGGAUUCGGCCAGCGCUAUGCUUCCGGCCACUUCGUCCGGCGGUACUCGCACCAAAAUUCCCGUUGCACAGCCAAAGAGUUCGACCGAAGUGGUGGCGCUGGGCGACGUAGUUUGCCCGUGGGAGUCGCACGAGCCGGAAACUCCGAAAGUUAAAUCGCCGAGUGAAGUGACAGUGGUCGUGUUGCAUCCAUCAAAACAAGCAUCGCCUGUUAUUAGCCUGGCCGGCAGUAGUGGUGGUAGUGGUGGCAGUGGUCAUUGCCGAAAAGAAUCCGCUUCUGGCCUCACUGUGCCGGAAUCCGGAACGGAGCCAUCGCAAGUGGAUAAAUCAUCGUCCAAAAUCAGCGACAUCUGUCCGUGGGAAGACGACACCCUAACGCCCACCUGGCUUUAACUUGAAUGGGAUUGUGUGCUGUCUGUUGUGUGAUGUUUUGCCUGUCCUUCAAAACAAAGAAAUCCCUAUUUCUAAAGAAAAACAAAACAAUAAUAAAUUAAACAAAAAAAAAAAAAAAAUCCUCUGCCCACACUACCCCACAAAAAAUAAAAACUCCUUCCGAAAUCCGCUCACCUUUCCUACUGCCCACUCAAAUGCUAACUUCGCUCUGUCUCUUCGUACACUCACGAACACCAAGCGCGCACCUUUCAAUUUCUUCCUCCUUAAAUCAAAUCUCAAAAGAGAAAGCUGUAAACUGGAUCAGCCAUUCGUCAAAACCUACGCCACAUUAGGCUAUUUGUGACGCAAUGAAGGCGGGACAAAAACAUUGCCGCCAACGCACCUUGUCUUCUUCCGGAAAUCCGGGAUUAAGAGGAGGAAGCACAAACAAAAAAAUCUAAGAAAAAAGGAAAAAAAAAUGAUCAUGUUGUAUUAAUCAAGUUGUAGAGAAAAUGUCUUGUCAAUCAUGUCUUGUCUUUGCCAUUGGUUUCGAAUGCUCUUUCAUUCCCCUUCUUCCUCCCGCCCCCCCCCCUUCGCCGACCAUUUUUCGUUUUCUUUCUGAAGCUAAAUCGGGUCACGAUCAGCUACUCUUUGAUCGACAAGAAAAGAAAAAUAUCGAAUCAAAAUCUGAGCCCAAUAGGAUUUGAUUGACAUUUUUUUUUGUUCCUUAAAAUCAAAGAGAGAGGCGGUCGUUAUAAUUACAGCGGACAAACGUCAGUUUCGAAUCGAUCAAAUAAGUUUGGUAAUUGAUUUUGCCAACGCUCCAAUUUUCAGAGUCAUUCGCCAAUUCAAACACCAAAAACAAUUUUCGAUAUUCACGCAGUUUGUUUUUAAAUUGAAAAAAAAAAUUAUUAUUAUUCGUCAAAAUCAAUGUUUAUAUCUUACGUGUGCGUGUCGUGUAUGUGGCUUUCACCGGCGAAUCGAGUUCCUGUCUCCUCGUUUUCGUCGACACUUUCUAUUCCGCCUGCUUCCGUGUCACACGCGUCCGCUUUGGUGUUGUGUGUAUUCCUUCUUUUUACCUCGUUAAAAAGAAGAAGACGAAGAAAAAUCUGAAAACAAACAAAAAAAAAUCUAGAUAUUUAGAAAAUAAUAAUUUUCACCCCAGUAAAAAAAAAAAAAAAAAAAAUUGAUUAAAGUCUUAGUCUUUAGAAUUAUCGGUAUCUGAGAAAAAAUUUAAAAAAAAAGUGCGUUGUAAAAACAGCCGGUUGGUGAUUUGAUUCGACGUCCACGUUUAAGUGCGAAAACGUGGACGUACAAAGCAUCUCUUUUCUUAAUUAGAAAAACCAAUCAAAUCACCUUCAACCUGUUUUCUAUCAACAGGCCC